UACGUAGGGAGCAAGCGUUGUCCGGAAUCAUUGGGCGUAAAGCGCGCGUAGGCGGCCCCGUAAGUCCGCUGUGAAAGUCAAAGGCUCAACCUUUGAAAGCCGGUGGAUACUGUUGGGCUAGAGUCCGGAAGAGGCGAGUGGAAUUCCUGGUGUAGCGGUGGAAUGCGCAGAUAUCAGGAGGAACACCAAUAGCGAAGGCAGCUCGCUGGGACGGUACUGACGCUAAGGCGCGAAAGCGUGGGGAGCGAACAGG
rnacentral:rRNA from 1 species